rnacentral:rRNA from 1 species
GACGAACGCUGGCGGCGUGCUUAACACAUGCAAGUCGAACGGAAAGGCCCUGCUUUUGUGGGUUUCUCGAUUGGCGAACGGGUGAGUAACACGUGAGUAACCUGCCCUUGACUUUGUGAUAACUUCAGGAAACUGGGGCUAAUACCGGAUAGGAUCUCCUGCUGCAUGUUGGGGGUUGGAAAGUUUCGGCGGUUGGGGAUGGACUCGCGGCUUAUCAGCUUGUUGGUGUGGUAGUGGCUUACCAAGGCUUUGACGGGUAGCCGGCCUGAGAGGGUGACCGGCCACAUUGGGACUGAGAUACGGACCAGAAUCCUACGGGAGGCAGCAGUGGGGAAUAUUGCACAAUGGGCGGAAGCCUGAUGCAGCAACGCCGCGUGCGGGAUGACGGCCUUCGGGUUGUAAACCGAUUUCGAAUGUGACGAAGCGUGAGUGACGGUAAUGGGUAAAGAAGCACCGGCUAACUACGUG